AUUAAUUCUCUGCUUUUUGGCUAAGAUCAAGUGUUGUAUCCAUUCUCAUCAGUUUACUAUCUGAUAUGUCCUCUAUUUGAGGACAAUAUAUUAAGUGGAUUUUUGGAGCAAGGAGAUGGAAUAGGAGCUUGCUCCAUCCACUCCACACAUCGACCUGGUAUUGCAUUCCUGGAGAGGAAUGGUGCACCCCCU
rnacentral:snRNA from 1 species